rnacentral:rRNA from 1 species
GUGGAGCGCUUAGAAGUGAGAAUGCCGGUGUGAGUAGCGAAAGACGGGUGAGAAUCCCGUCCACCGAUUGACUAAGGUUUCCAGAGGAAGGCUCGUCCGCUCUGGGUUAGUCGGGUCCUAAGCUGAGGCCGACAGGCGUAGGCGAUGGAUAACAGGUUGAUAUUCCUGUACCACCUAUAAUCGUUUUAAUCGAUGGGGGGACGCAGUAGGAUAGGCGAAGCGUGCGAUUGGAUUGCACGUCUAAGCAGUAAGGCUGAGUAUUAGGCAAAUCCGGUACUCGUUAAGGCUGAGCUGUGAUGGGGAGAAGACAUUGUGUCUUCGAGUCGUUGAUUUCACACUGCCGAGAAAAGCCUCUAGAUAGAAAAUAGGUGCCCGUACCGCAAACCGACACAGGUAGUCAAGAUGAGAAUUCUAAGGUGAGCGAGCGAACUCUCGUUAAGGAACUCGGCAAAAUGACCCCGUAACUUCGGGAGAAGGGGUGCUCUUUAGGGUUAACGCCCAGAAGAGCCGCAGUGAAUAGGCCCAAGCGACUGUUUAUCAAAAACACAGGUCUCUGCUAAACCGUAAGGUGAUGUAUAGGGGCUGACGCCUGCCCGGUGCUGGAAGGUUAAGAGGAGUGGUUAGCUUCUGCGAAGCUACGAAUCGAAGCCCCAGUAAACGGCGGCCGUAACUAUAACGGUCCUAAGGUAGCGAAAUUCCUUGUCGGGUAAGUUCCGACCCGCACGAAAGGCGUAACGAUUUGGGCACUGUCUCAACGAGAGACUCGGUGAAAUCAUAGUACCUGUGAAGAUGCAGGUUACCCGCGACAGGACGGAAAGACCCCGUGGAGCUUUACUGUAGCCUGAUAUUGAAAUUCGGCACAGCUUGUACAGGAUAGGUAGGAGCCUUUGAAACGUGAGCGCUAGCUUACGUGGAGGCGCUGGUGGGAUACUACCCUAGCUGUGUUGGCUUUCUAACCCGCACCACUUAUCGUGGUGGGAGACAGUGUCAGGCGGGCAGUUUGACUGGGGCGGUCGCCUCCUAAAAGGUAACGGAGGCGCUCAAAGGUUCCCUCAGAAUGGUUGGAAAUCAUUCAUAGAGUGUAAAGGCAUAAGGGAGCUUGACUGCGAGACCUACAAGUCGAGCAGGGUCGAAAGACGGACUUAGUGAUCCGGUGGUU